rnacentral:lncRNA from 1 species
GUGGGAUGCCAGGGACGGUUCCACAAAAGGAGGGGCAGGCUCUCUUCCUCUCUCUCCGUUGUGGCCUGGGAGGAGAACGUGCCUGAAGCUCCAGCAGCCAUCCUGGACUGGGAGGUGACCUUGCAGACGGAAGCCACUCGCUGAAGACGUUGGAGCAGAAGGACAGAAGGAGAUGGGAUCCAAUGACUUCCUGUAACCAGCACGACAGCCCUGGGUGGCCGCCUCACGCCUCCUUUCUUAUUUUCAACAGAUACCAUUUUCGGAUGAUUGUCUGCAUGCCAGGCAUGGUGCUAUGGAUUAUAUAUGCGCUAUCUCAUUAAUUCUCAGAAAAAUCCAUGAAGUCGGCGCUGGAACUGUUGCCACUUUAUAGAAUCCACCAUGCUAUUCGGCUCAGAGAGGACAGAAUUGGCCACAUCCCACAUAGCUGGUAGGAGGCCAUGCUGGAUCUGGAUUCAGGUUUCUUGACUCCUGUUCCAAGUGUUUUUUCAUACUCUGCUGCUUCUGGAUCCAUGAACAUACGUCAGAUGGUGGGCGAUGUCCCUCUCCCUACACUGCAAACCCAGAGCUGCAGCCAAGAGCCCAGCUCGAGAUGCAGUACACCCUCUGGGCCUGGGUCUUGUCCCACCACCAACAUAACCUCUCAUUCACCCUUACAUACCUAACCUGUGACACAGGGACACACCCUGAAUGGGACCCAUCAGUUGUGGGCCGUGCUCUCCACCACAGGCCCAGCUCAUAGAAGCAAGCCCUAUACUACUUCGGGUGUGUGGUUUUUACUUUUUUAAAUGGUUGAAGAAAAAUAAUAUUUUGUGACACUCUGCUGCAAAUUAUAUGAAAUCCAAAUUUCAGUGUCCAUAAAUAAAGUUUUAUUGGCACACAGCCACACUCACUUGCUUACUUAUUGUCUAUGGCUGCUUGUGUGUUACAAUGGCAGAGCUGACCAGCUGCAAUAGGGGUCCAUGGCCUGUAAAGCUUAAAGUAUUUACCUUUUGGCCCUUGACAGAAAAAGUUCGCUGAUCCCUAUUCCAGACGAAAGAAAUCAAACCCCAACAGCACCAUCAUCCCCAUCUGGUGAUUCCUUCUCAAGCGGCCGAUUCC